rnacentral:lncRNA from 1 species
AAAAAAUAUUUGUACAUAUUAUAAAAAUUGUUUACUAAAAAAAAUUAAUAUAUUAUAAUAAUACAUAUUACUUGUACUUAAAUAUUAUAAUAAAUUACUUUUAUUAAAUAUAUAAUAAAUAAUUUUUAUUAAAUUAUAUUUUAUAUCAAAUUCAACUAUCACUUUUUUCAUUAUCCUCUAUUAUUCUAAAAUUAAUUAAACACAAUUUUAAUUAUUCUUGAAAUAGUAGCAUUACAAACUAAAUACAAUUUUACUCUUAUUCCUAAUUUUUCG